UACGUAGGUGGCAAGCGUUUGUCCGGAAUUAUUGGGCGUAAAGCGCGCGCAGGCGGUCCUUUAAGUCUGAUGUGAAAUCCCGUGGCUUAACCACGGGCGGUCAUUGGAAACUGGGGGACUUGAGUGCAGAAGAGAAGAGCGGAAUUCCACGUGUAGCGGUGAAAUGCGUAGAGAUGUGGAGGAACACCAGUGGCGAAGGCGGCUCUUUGGUCUGUAACUGACGCUGAGGCGCGAAAGCGUGGGGAGCGAACAGG
rnacentral:rRNA from 1 species